rnacentral:lncRNA from 1 species
UGUCUUUGAAGUUGCUCUCAGCAACCCUCAAGAGACCUUGGAGCUUGCUUAGGGUGACCUCUUCUUUGUUCAUGUGGUAGGUCAUCCUAAAUUGAUUGUACAUCGGAGGCAAAGAGUGAAGCACCAUGUCGAUCGCCAAAUCCUCACCGAAGUCAACAUUUAACUUGCGAAGGCGGUCGACAUACCUUUGCAUCUUUUGCAAGUGCACGGUAAGAGAUUCUCCAUGACCCAUCUUCGCGGAAAUCAUGUUAGUGAAAAUCUCGUACCUCUCUUGUCUCGCGUUUUGGUGGUACCUCUCCAAUAAGUCUUGGUGCAUCUCGUACGGGUACAUGUCCUCGUAGGACUUUUGGAAUUCGGAGUUCAUGGUGGCAAUCAUGAUGCAAUGUACCUUCGUUGCAUCUCGCUCAUGAGUCUCAAAAGCGGUGAUUUCGGCCGGAGUAGCGAUUUCGGGGUUGAUUUUCUCGAGCUUCUCAUCGAGGACAUACUCCUUAUCCUCAUAGCGAGCAAUGGUGCGAAUGUAUCUUAUCCAUUCGCUAAAGUUCGUUCCAUCGAAGGUGACCUUUUGGCAAAGGCUCAUCAACGUGAAAGAACUAGCAGCAGCGUUGUUUGCGUUCGACAUCUACAAUUAGAAAAGGACAAAGAUAGAUUAGAAUAAGAAUCCCUAAUUAUCACCCAAUAAGAAAAUUAGGGCUAGGAUCCAACAAUAACAUUUACAUACUAGAAAAGGGAUGCCGUAAUCUAACAUGCAAAUAAAUUGAAGGUAAGUGAAUGACGAUUCACUAAUUCUCCAUCACAAAACUUAAACUAUUAGUCCUAAGUGUUUUUGAGAAUUCCUAGGUUCGGAUGAGAUUCAUUGAAACUAUUCAAUGGCAUGUUUAAAUCUCGAUAUGCCCCUCUUGUUUGUGACUGGGAUGCCGAGGAUCACAAAGCGGGUGUGAAUUACCAUGCAAAUUCACAUGGUGCCUUCAUUGUAACGAUCACCUAUUCGAUGUGCCGGUAAACCACACACGCUCCAUCGAACUAUGAUAAACAAUGAAUCACCCUUUGCCACCUUCGCUUAGAACCAAUUAGUGUGCCGGUAAACCACACACGCUCCACUAACAUCUUAGCAAGGUGCAAAGUGUAAUUUCAUGGGAUUGCAUCAAUUCACUUUUCCUAAAGUAACUAGGAUUGGGAAAUUUUAAAAUAUGUGUAGUUACUUUGUAUUUCUUAUUAUACUUUUAAUGAGAGGAUGAGGUUGCCCUAUCCUACCCGUUCGGCUAACGACCCUCCACCAAUCAAGCAAGCGGUGGGUGUGAGUGUACACCCAUUAAGCGCCAUUUUAUAGGCCGCAACCUUAUACCCACCUUAUAGAUCGGCUUCGUGAAUGAGGCCUACUAACGGUAAGACUAGCAUUUAGUUAUACAUAUAUAUAUUAUUCUAGUAAUAUCAUAUUAGUAUAGGGUUGUAUUUUAAAACUUUUAAAAUCUAGGGUUUGAAAUUUAAGUUGUCUAAAUUAAAACUUUUAAUCACAAAAGUAAAUUUCAAAACAUGAGGGUAGGUUUUAAACAUUUAAAACAUGGAGGAUCAAAUAACAAAUAAUUCCAAUUAACAAUUAAUAUCCUAAUUAUCUAUAUUUGAUUUAUUCAAGAUUUCUUUUUAAGAUAAUUACCAAAAUAAUUAAAAUAAUUAAUUAAUUAUCAUAUAAGGAAAUUAAAUAUUUAAUUAGUUGAUAAUUACCUUUAACUAGAUCAAGAUAAUAGUUAUAUUUAUCAGAAAAACGAAUUAAUGUUGAUCUAAUUAGUUUAUGGUAAGUUAAGAUAAGAUAAACACAAAGAAAUCCCGAAUCUGGCCAUUCCUGACGCCUGGACUCGCCGAGUGCACAAAUGGACUCGCCGAGUCAGGCCUACUCGCCGAGUCCACUUUGGGACUCGCCGAGUCCAUGACUCAGAAACCAAAAAAUCGAAUUUUGCAGGUUUGUUUCAGUUAAUCAAGCAACAAUUUAAAGAAAACCAAGCUAGGCUCUGAUACCACUGAUGGGUUUUAGCCAUAAGAACUUUCCUAUGUGCGCAUGCAAAACCCUAAUGCUUGGAUCUAGGCUUUCUAAUAAACAUGCAUUGAAUCCAAGUCUUCUAAUGACUAAUUAGGUUAAAUAACAACAUUGAAACAGAUCUAGAAUCAUACCUUUGAGUUCCUUGUUGAUCUUGAGGUCUUGGAGCUUCUAGAGUCACAAGUGUCACUCCUCUAAUGGCUUACAAACACCAAUAGCAAUAAGAAUGAUUUAGGAGAGAGGAGAGGGGAGGAAUUCGACCAGAGUUCUCUUGCUUUUUCAGAAGUGUCGAAUUCCCUAUGCCAUGGGGUCUAUUUAUACUUGUAGACUCCUUAAGGAUUACAGAUAAGUCCCUAUCAGAUAAUCUUCUCUUAAGGCUAUCCAAAUCCAUUCCUAGAUAACUCUAAUGGACGAUUUUAGCUAUCCUAAUCCUCUUAGAAUUCGUCCAUAGCAUAUCCAAAUGGAUUUACAGUCUAAAGCUUAACUAUCAAACAAUUGACAGUUUAUACCCCUUUAUUUAAUUAAUCUCUUUAAGUCACCAAAUUAAUUCUAAUUAAUUCUAUGACUUAUAUUAAUCAAAUAACAAAUAUAUUAUUCAUUAUAUUAUUCUCAUAAUAUAUUAAUAAUAUUUACUCUCUCUUAAUAAAUCAUCCUAUCAAGUUGCUAUGGUGAAGGCAACCCAAAAGGACCAUGCACAACCGGAUCAAAUACUUGCCUAAUAUAGUUACAGCCUUAGACACUAUUCCAACAGUCUCCCACUUGGAUAAGUCUAGUAACUAUACAAGUACAAUUCGGUUUGCAAUCGUAGCUCUCAAAGACGCUGUCAACUCUGAUCUAAUCAAUCUUGUCCUUUAGAUAAGGGAACGUACAGUCCUCUGUUAGAUAUCAUGCUGACAAUCCUAUGGAAUGGUUAGUCAAGCAUUUAGGUUUCUCGAUCUCUGAUUUAUUUGACAUAGAACUUAAUCGAACACAUCAAUUCAGUUCUGACCGGGCCCGGCACAUAAGUCAAAUCAAAUCAUCGAGCGGCCGAGAUAUCGCUUUUACCUUCUUAGAUAAAAGUUACAGAUAAACUUCGACUUAUAUGCAUUUACUUAUUCAUUUACCAACUAUACACAACAAUACGUUUUAUAACACCAAGUUACUGAUGCGUUUUCGUAUUAUCAAUGUACAAUCAAUUAACAAAUAAUAAACCAUAUAUCUAGGUUUUAAGACUAUAUGAUAUUAUCGUCUUGCGAUCACCUUUUAUAUCGUAUUCCAUAAGGUGAUUCCAGCAAGCGCGGGUUUAUUCCAAUGCUCAAAACUAGUUCAUAAGCACUCAUGAACGUUGCAGCAAUCCUUUGCUAUGUCUAACACCAUUUAGACAUUCUACACACCAAUUCAUGACAAUCUUCAUUCAUAUCUACUCCCAACAUAUGAACGAUUGUGGACCAUUUGAACAAUUCGAUUAUUCCUAAUAAACUCAAUUAUUCUGGAAGUCAAAACAUGCAAAGUGAAACAAUAGCUAAACAAUUAACAUAAGAUAGUAACAUUACUCAUAAAUAAAACUCCUUUAUUUAAUCAUCAAAUGUUAAUUACAUUUAUCUAUUACACGUUUCUAAUACUAUCUAAUCUAUGCUAAUAUCAUCCUUCAGCCCAAUACUCCUAGCAUGCUGCAAGUGCUUAACCCUACUCAGUCCCUUCGUAAGCGGAUCUGCUGGGUUAUCUUCUGAUGAUAUCCUCUUCACUACGAGUUGUCCUUCUUCUACACGAUGUCUAAUGAAGUGAUACUUUCUGUCGAUAUGUCUUGAUCUACCAUGAUCCCUCGGUUCCUUGGUUAAGGCAACCGCGCCUUCGUUAUCACAGAAAAUCUCCAUUGGCUCCUUUAUGGCAGGUACAACUCCAAGAUCACCGAUGAAGUUCUUUAGCCAUAUUGCCUCCUUCGACGCUUCGCUCGCUGCAAUGUACUCUGAUUCGCACGUUGAAUCAGCUACGGUUUCCUGCUUGGAACUCUUCCAUGUCACUGCUCCUCCAUUUAGGGUAAAGACCCAGCCCGACUGCGAACGGUAGUUGUCCCUGUCGGUCUGAAAACUGGCGUCACUAUACCCUCGCACCUUCAAGUCAUCACUCCCUCCGAGGACUAAGAACCAUUCCUUCGUCCUCCGAAGGUACUUAAGGAUAUUCUUCACCGCAAUCCAAUGUGCUUUGCCAGGAUUCCCUUGAUAUCUGCUAACCAUGCUCAAAGCGAAGGCUACAUCAGGGCGAGUACAAGUCAUAGCGUACAUGAUUGAGCCAACUGCGGAAGCGUAUGGUACUCGGCUCAUUUCUGCUAUCUCAGCUUCGGUACUCGGACUUUGAGUCUUACUCAAUUUGGCAUUACUUUGUAUCGGUAGUUCUCCCUUCUUUGAGUUUUCCAUACUAAAACGUUUUAGUACCUUCUCUAAGUAAGUAUUCUGACUAAGUCCAAUUAGUCUCUUACUUCUUUCUCUUACUAUCCUUAUUCCCAAAAUGUAAGAAGCCUCUCCGAGGUCCUUCAUAGCGAAGCACUUCCCGAGCCAGGACUUAACCUCCUGCAGAGUCGGGAUGUCGUUUCCUAUGAGUAAUAUGUCAUCGACAUAUAGAACGAGGAAGCUUACUAUACUCCCACUGGCUUUGACAUAUACACAAGAUUCGUCUUCGCUUCGUACAAAUCCAAACUCUUUGACUUUCUCAUCGAAGCAAAGAUUCCAUCUGCGAGACGCUUGCUUAAGUCCAUAAAUGGACUUCUCAAGCUUACACACUCUAUCCGGAUGCUUCGGAUCCACAAACCCCUCUGGCUGAGCCAUGUAAACAUCCUCAGCCAACUUUCCGUUAAGGAAAGCGGUCUUGACAUCCAUUUGCCAAAUCUCAUAAUCAUGAAAUGCGGCAAUAGCUAGCAUCACUCUAAUAGAUUUAAUCUUCGCAACUGGUGAGAAGGUCUCAUCAUAGUCAACUCCGGGAGUUUGAGUAAAGCCCUUCGCAACCAAUCGCGCUUUAUAUGUGUGUACGUUUCCAUCCACGUCGGUCUUCUUCUUGAAGAUCCAUUUGCACCCAACGGUCUUACGUCCGGGCACAUAAUCAACCAAAUUCCAAACUUGGUUAUCAUACAUGGAUUGGAUCUCGCUAUCCAUUGCCUCUUUCCAUUUUGCAGACUCCGGGCCUGCCAUGGCUUCCUUAUAGCUAUUAGGUUCAUCAAGAUUUACUAGUGUACCAUCACUAAUAUACGUGUCCCCUUCGGUAGUAAUAUGAAAACCAUAAAACUGGGGAAGAACUCUAACUCUAUCGGAACGUCUAAGAGGUAAGGAUUCGUCAAUCGGUUCAACCGGAGUUUCCUCCUCGGGUUGAGUGCCAGCGGUAGAGGUUCCUUCAUCUAUCGACUCUUGAAUCUCUUCAAGUUCGAUUUGCCUCCCACUGUCUCCUUGGCUUAUGAGUUCUCGCUCUCGGAAAACUCCUCUCCUCGCAACGAAGACAACAUUGUCCUUCGGUCUAUAGAAGAGAUAUCCAAAGGAUGUCUGCGGGUAGCCGAUGAAAAUACAUCGCUCACUUCGAGGUUCAAGCUUGUCGUGAGUAUCUCGUCUUACGAAAGCCUCGCAACCCCAAACCUUGAUAUGUGCCAACGAGGGAGCUUUCCCUGUCCACAUCUCGUGAGGUGUUUUGGCAACCUUCUUAGUAGGGACUCGGUUAAGGAUAUGGGCGGCAGUCUCUAAGGCAUACCCCCAAAAAGAGAUAGGUAGUGAAGCACGACUCAUCAUAGAGCGAACCAUAUCCAAUAAGGUUCGAUUACGCCUUUCUGCCACACCAUUCAACUGCGGUGUCCUAGGAGGCGUCAAUUGUGAAACUAUUCCACACUCCUUGAGAUAAUCGUGGAAUUCAAGACUUAGGUACUCUCCUCCUCGAUCGGAUCGAAGCAUCUUGAUUUUCCUGCCCAAUUGAUUCUCCACUUCAUUCUUGAACUCUUUGAACUUUUCAAAGGUGUCUGACUUUUGCUUGAUUAAGUAGAUAUACCCAUAUCUACUAUAGUCAUCGGUAAAAGUCACGUAGAAGCGGUUCCCAUCCUUCGUGGUUGAUCUAAACGGUCCACAUACAUCGGUAUGUAUUAGGUCCAAUAGACCCUCACCCCUUUCACACGUACUCGUGAAGGGUGACUUAGUCAUCUUUCCAAGUAAACAAGACUCGCAUGUGUCAUCUUCCCUAAGGUCGAAUGACUCCAACACUCCAUCCUUUUGGAGUUGGGCUAUGCGUUUCUUGUUGACAUGUCCAAGACGACAAUGCCACAAGGAUGCUUUAUCCAUACUAGUGGAAGAAUCUAUAUUCAAAACAUCAUUUCCUAAGUUAUCAACAAUCAUAACAGUUUCAUAAAUUCCAUUACAUGGUAUAGCUUCAAAGUAAAAGACACCAUUUAGAUAAGCCAAAAUAGAACCAUUCUCAUUAUUAAAAGAAAAUCUAAAACCUUGUCUAUAUAAACCAUGAAAUGAAAUGAUGUUUCUAGCCAUUUCUGGCGAAUAGCAACAAUUGUUCAAAUCUAAACAUAAACUAUUCCUAAGCACUAAAGAAUACACUCCAAUCUUGGUCACAGGCGACGAUCUUCUGUUCCCCAUGAUUAGAUUGAUCCUUCCUUGCUCCACAUCCCUACUUCUUCUUAGUCCCUGCACAUUAGAACAAAUGUGAUAACCACAACCGGUAUCAAGAACCCAAGAAAUAGCAUGAUUAGAAUCGUUAGAUUUAAUUGUGUAUAUACCUGCGAAAGAUGGCUUGAUCUUUCCUUCUUUGAUUGCUUGCAGGUACUCUGGGCAGCUUCUCUUCCAAUGUCCUAUCUUGUGGCAGUGGUGGCACUCUGCCUCCUUCGGGUUAGGGCAGGGCUUAGCGGGAUCAACUUUGGUCCCACUAGAAGAGGCACCAUCUCGGGCUUUAACCUUGCGAUAGUUCUUAGAUGAAGCCUUCCUCUUCUUUCCCUUUCCUUGACCAAUAGCCAAGACAGGAGCAGCGGGUGGAUUGGGAGUUGGUGCAACAGACUUGUCUUUGAAGUUGCUCUCAGCGACCCUCAAGAGACCUUGGAGUUUGCUUAGGGUGACCUCCUCUUUGUUCAUGUGGUAGGUCAUCCUAAAUUGAUUGUACAUCGGAGGCAAAGAGUGAAGCACCAUGUCGAUCGCCAAGUCUUCCCCAAAGUCAACAUUUAACUUGCGAAGGCGGUCGACAUACCUUUGCAUCUUUUGCAAGUGCACGGUAAGAGAUUCUCCAUGACCCAUCUUAGCGGAAAUCAUGUUAGUGAAAAUCUCAUAACGCUCUUGUCUCGCGUUUUGGUGGUAUCUCUCC